UACGUAGGGUGCAAGCGUUGUCCGGAUUUACUGGGCGUAAAGGGCGCGUAGGCGGCGUGGUAAGUCACUUGUGAAAUCUCCGGGCUUAACUCGGAACGGUCAAGUGAUACUGCUGUGCUAGAGUGCGGAAGGGGCAACUGGAAUUCUUGGUGUAGCGGUGAAAUGCGUAGAUAUCCGGAGGAACACCGGUGGCGAAGGCGGCUUCCUGGACCGACACUGACGCUGAGGCGCGAAAGCUAGGGGAGCAAACGGG
rnacentral:rRNA from 1 species